rnacentral:rRNA from 1 species
AGCAGUAGCCGCGGGAAUACGUAGGGUGCAAGCGUUAAUCGGAAUUACUGGGCGUAAAGCGUGCGCAGGCGGUUUGUUAAGACAGAUGUGAAAUCCCCGGGCUCAACCUGGGAACUGCAUUUGUGACUGGCAAGCUAGAGUGUGGCAGAGGGGGGUGGAAUUCCGCGUGUAGCAGUGAAAUGCGUAGAUAUGCGGAGGAACACCGAUGGCGAAGGCAGCCCCCUGGGCCAACACUGACGCUCAUGCACGAAAGUGUGGGGAGCAAACAGGAUUAGAUACCCGAGUAGUCCCUGUCUCUUAUAC